AGAGUUUGAUCAUGGCUCAGAAUCAACGCUGGCGGCGCGCUUAACACAUGCAAGUCGCACGAGAAAGGGGGCAACCCUGAGUACAGUGGCGUACGGGUGAGUAACACGUGGGUGAUCUACCUCUUAGUGGGGAAUAACCCUGGGAAACCGGGGCUAAUACCGCAUAAGCUCGAGAGAGGAAAGCAGCAAUGCGCUGAGAGAGGAGCCCGCGGCCGAUUAGCUAGUUGGCAGGGUAAGAGCCUACCAAGGCAAAGAUCGGUAGCCGGCCUGAGAGGGCACACGGCCACACUGGCACUGAAACACGGGCCAGACUCCUACGGGAGGCAGCAGUGGGGAAUCUUGCACAAUGGGGGAAACCCUGAUGCAGCGACGCCGCGUGAGCGAUGAAGCCCUUCGGGGUGUAAAGCUCUUUCGGCAGGGAAGAUUAUGACGGUACCUGUAGAAGCAGCUGCGGCUAACUACGUGCCAGCAGCCGCGGUAAUACGUAGGCAGCGAGCGUUGUUCGGAGUUACUGGGCGUAAAGGGUGUGUAGGCGGUUCUUUAAGUUUGGUGUGAAAUCUCCCGGCUCAACCGGGAGGGUGCGCCGAAUACUGAGGGACUUCGAGUGCGGGAGAGGAAAGUGGAAUUCCUGGUGUAGCGGUGAAAUGCGUAGAUAUCAGGAGGAACACCGGUGGUGUAGACGGCUUUCUGGACCGUAACUGACGCUGAGACACGAAAGCGUGGGUAGCAAACAGGAUUAGAUACCCUAGUAGUCC
rnacentral:rRNA from 1 species